rnacentral:rRNA from 3 species
ACUUAAAUUGAAGAGUUUGAUCAUGGCUCAGAUUGAACGCUGGCGGCAGGCCUAACACAUGCAAGUCGAGCGGUAGCACAGAGAGCUUGCUCUCGGGUGACGAGCGGCGGACGGGUGAGUAAUGUCUGGGAAACUGCCUGAUGGAGGGGGAUAACUACUGGAAACGGUAGCUAAUACCGCAUAACGUC